rnacentral:rRNA from 1 species
UACGGAGGGUGCAAGCGUUAAUCGGAAUUACUGGGCGUAAAGCGUGCGCAGGCGGUGAUGCAAGCCAAAUGUGAAAUACCUGGGCUCAACCUGGGAACUGCAUAUGGGACUGCAUGACUAGAGUGUGGCAGAGGGCAAUGGAAUUACGCAUGUAGCAGUGAAAUGCGUAGAUAUGCGUAGGAACACCAAUGGCGAAGGCAAUUGCCUGGGCCUGCACUGACGCUCAUGCACGAAAGCGUGGGGAGCAAACAGG